rnacentral:lncRNA from 1 species
CUCUGUGUCUUUGGACAAGCCGCUUUAUCUCCUGGGCCGCGAUUUUCUCAUCUGUAAGUGGGGAGUAAUCACAGUAUCUACCAAGCAGGGUUUUUCUAAGGAUUCAAAGAGGCGAUUUACGAAAGGGCUCUGAAAAAUGCUGAGCAAAUAUUAACUAACAAUAAGAUUAUAAUGAAACAAAAUAAUACAGUUCAAACUGUAUUUCCUCUCCAGGAUCCCACUGACUCCUCACAACAGCACUAUUUUGAGGUGUGCCUGUGAUUCUCCCCAUUUUCCAGAUCGGUAAACUAGGGCCUGGGUCAAGGGCGGAAGUUGCCCAAAGUUAAACAGGAAGUGGGGGGACCGGACAAACAGCAGAGCCACAGGCUCUCCCCGCACCAGACAGUUUUUCAGCCUGCGGCUUUUCUGACCCAGCCUCCAAAUGGACUUCGUUCUCCUGGCUCCGUGAGAGUGCACCGGCUCCAUUCCCCGCCCUCGGUUUUUGUUUUUCCUUUUUGUUGUAAUUCUCACUGGUGGAAAUCAAAUGAUUGUUUUUCUUGCUUGUUAUCCAUCUCUCCCACAAGAAUAUCAGUUCCGGGAGGACAAGGUCCUUGUCUUUUAUGUUCAUCAGAAAAUUUAAAGCAGGUCUUCAGUAAAGAGCUAGGGAAGGAUUCGAUUAUCUUCCAAUUAUUAAUGAAGCUUGGAGUCCAGCGGCGCCACCUGUGAUGCAGUGCCCUAUUCAAGCCAGCAGAUGGCAGCAGAGAACAAGGUAGCCUGGGAGAGAGAUGGGCCCGUGCACCUGUCCACAGAGAGCCUCCAUGCAGCCGUACCUCCUGGGCCGGCCCUGGCACCGCCAGCUCCUGAGUUCGCCCUGCCCCUCGGACGCCGGCAGAUCUUGCCGGAGAUCAUUUUCUGAAAGACUCGCCUCCUGACCUCUUGCCGGGAGCCGCGGACAAGAUUAGUUUUAAGCCUCGGCCCAGCCGGUUACUUUCAGCAGAGGGUCCGAGAGUGUCCACGAGCGGGGUGUUAUUGUGUCACACAAAGGAAUGUUGUAAUCAUCCUCUAAGACCCUCCUUGGGGGACCACUGUGCCCUGGUUUUCAAGAGCUUUGGCAGAUGCUGCUUUGAGAGUUGCCAUUUGAAACUCAAGAGCACCCAUCCUGGUACCGGUCCUGUUCAAGGCAAACUGCCGUCAUCCAAGAGACGCCCAGGUGUCGGGGACCACAGGCGAGCUGUAAAUAACCCAGUCCGUGGCUGUAGAUCACCUCUGGCUGGACAGCCACGCCACCUCCACGGCCGCCCAGCUGGUAGACGCAGCCGCCUUUGGGAACAGGUGGCCCGCAGGGGCGGUGGCUGGUCUCCGCCGCAGCCUUGGAGGACCAGCCUGAUUCCAGCCUCAGACAACCCACCCACCCACCCAGUGCUCGGCCAGGCCCCAGCCACAGGCUUUCACGUUAAACAGGUUCUGACACUAAAAAUCAAGGUCUGCCGGCUGUUGUCAUAGGAAUGCAAUAUCCUCCGGAGGUCUCCUUAUUAAAAAACCACAUCUUGCGGCUGCCCAGGCUGGAUCUCUAUUUCAUUUGUAUUGAUCACAGGGAAAUGUCUCAUUCCCUGGCUGACAAAUGCAGCCAGUAGGGAGGGAGUCCGUGUUUGGUGGAAAACAUUUAUGUUCACAGUGAUCUGGGGGAUCCUGAGGCCGGAGCUGUGAGGUUUUGUGUGUGUGUGUGUGUGUGUGUGUGUGUCUGUGGGGAGGGGGGAGGUCAUCUCUAGUUAGGCUGUGGGAUUACAAACGUAGUGAUAACAGGGGCUUCGGAAAUUAGCCAGGGUGACCACUUCAUUUUAAAGACUUUGGGUCAAGGAUGGGACCUGACUUCCCCUCUUCCCGGGUAGUAGCGCUUCUAGGAGUCUGCCCUAUAGAUGGUACCUGCCAUUGUGUGAAGGGAUAUUCAACACAGCACUGCUUGAGGUGCCAAGUUGGGGAAACCACCUCCACAUCCAUUACUGGAGAUUGGGUUAAAAAAAAAAAGUAUGAUAUUAGGCAGAACCACGUUAAGCUGCCACUUCUGCUGGUCAAAAAUGGUUGAAUAUUGAUAAUCUCAUAUGGGUCCAUCUACCACCUCUACCAAAUAGGAUGGUGUGCACUUUUUUUAAAUAAAAUUUUUUUAUUGAAGUAUAGUUAAUUUACAAUGUUAUGUUAGUUUCAGGUGUACAGCAAAGUAAUUCUGUUAUACAUAUAUGUGUGUGUGUGUAUAUUCUUUUCAGAUUCUUGUCCACUAUAGGCUAUUACAAGAUACUGAAUAUAGUUCUCUGUGUUAUAACAGGCAGUCUUAAAAAGGAUAAGAUGGAGGACCCUCCAAGAUGUAUUAGAAAAUGGAAAAAAGCAAGCUGCAGAAUUGUGUACUGGUAUGCUCUGUAUAUAUGUUUUUUUUUUUUUUUUGAAAGGGAAAUAUAUGCAUAACUGUUGGAAUAAGCCUCGACUCUGGAAGGAAACACUAGAAAUGGUCCACAGAGACUGCUUUGGGGGCGGGACCGAGGAAGGCUGAGACCGAGGUUGACUUUCCUCUUUACAGCUUCUCUAUUUUCCUAAUUUUGUACGUGUGUGUGUGUGUGUGUGUGUGUGUAGGGUGAAUACAAAAUCAUUAAAAUUUGAAACAAAGAUCAGAAUGUCAGGGAAGCCAUCAUUAUAUUAGAGGUUAAGUGCUCAGACUGUGGUCUGGGAAUUCUGGGCUUCAAGCUACUUGUCUCACUGAGGAGCCUCAGUUUCCUCAUCUGUCGAGUGGGGGUAGUAACAGUGUUUACUUCACAAAGGGGAACUGAAGAUUUCCUUGAGAUGUGAAAGGGACAGGGUCAGCCCAGCGGCACAGGGAAUUCAGUGAAUGUUAGAUGUUAUUAUAGAUGAUACAUAAAUCAUAACACACAAAUCCUUACAAUGUCUUACUUGGCAUUGUUGUUUUCUUGAAAUAAAAUUUUUUUAUUGAAGUAUAGUUAAUUUACAAUGUUAUGUUAGUUUCAGGUGUACAGCAAAGUAAUUCUGUUAUACAUAUAUGUGUGUGUGUGUAUAUUCUUUUCAGAUUCUUGUCCACUAUAGGCUAUUACAAGAUACUGAAUAUAGUUCUCUGUGUUAUAACAGGCAGUCUUAAAAAGGAUAAGAUGGAGGACCCUCCAAGAUGUAUUAGAAAAUGGAAAAAAGCAAGCUGCAGAAUUGUGUACUGGUAUGCUCUGUAUAUAUGUUUUUUUUUUUUUUUGAAAGGAAAUAUAUGCAUAACUGUUGGAAUAAGCCUCGACUCUGGAAGGAAACACUAGAAAUGGUCCACAGAGACUGCUUUGGGGCGGGACCGAGGAAGGCUGAGACCGAGGUUGACUUUCCUCUUUACAGCUUUCUAUUUUCCUAAUUUUGUACGUGUGUGUGUGUGUGUGUGUGUGUAGGGUGAAUACAAAAUCAUUAAAAUUUGAAACAAAG